UCUGGGAUUGUUCAGUCAGUAGAACUUGAGUCUCUUAAUCUCAGGGUUGUGGAUUCGAGCUCCACAUUGUGCAAAA